rnacentral:misc_RNA from 1 species
CCGCGAGGCACGCUCUCCCGCCUCCUCUAAUCGCUUGUGGACCCCUCGCCCACACCUCACACGCCGAAGUACCCUGGCCGCGAAUACUCGCACACACACACACACAUAUAUAGGGCGCACUGCCCACACCUCUCGCACCCCAUCAAGAGCGAAUGGGGCAGUACACACGCGACGAGUGGUCGCUGUAGCGGCGCUGCUUCGCUGCAUACCCCCCGACGCCACGCGUCGCGCUCGGUGUGCGCGUGUCGGGCUCGGGUCUGGAUGGGCGGUUGCAUGCUCACGGUCUGCGGACCCGAUGGCGAUGGGGUCUCCCUCGACGAGCGCACCCGCGUCUCCGUGCAGAUCGCACCCGGGGACACCCUGGGGGACUUGGCGCAGACGCCUGCGACGACGGCUGCCGGAAGCGCAGGGCUUGUCGGCGCCGGAUGCAGGCAAUGGUGGCGCACCGGGCACAUGUAACGAUGGCAGCGUAGUGGGCCGUCGAGCGGCGCCACCACCAAGAGGCGGGGCAGCGGGAGGCGCACAUUGCACAGCCAGGCUGCCUUUCUUCACGCAGCAUGUGGUGAGCAUCGAGCAGGAGGCACGGCAGCAGCCACGGGCUCAGGUAGAGCGAUGUCCGCGGCGGGCACACAGCGCCUUCGAAGGUCGGGCUCAACGGGCUACCGCGUGAGCCCCAAGACUCCUAGAUGCGGCGACGCGUGUUCUCGCCGGCGGCCCGGCAGUGGAUCAGCCGGAACUCCGUGCCCCGAGGGGAGGGGGGCGCGUGACGGUGGCGGUUCGCAUCGACAGCGCCCGUGGAUCCGCCCCGUGCCGCUUUUUGGGCGAGCAGUUGGCCACCUGGACGCUGUAUACAUCCGUCGGUGUCACCGUUGACCACGGUCAGCAGACGGUGCAACGGGGCCCGACGUUUCUGUGACGCCUUCGCGAUCACCCUCGAUGGGAUGCGAUGGCGGUGACGUACAUGGAGCGGCUUGUGUCGAGGCUUCUCCAGGCAUCGAGUGUCACGGGCGUCCCAACGCAUGGGUGCCGUUGGGCGGCCUAGUGAGUACGCCGCUGUUUGCCGUCGCUGCACCGUUGCCUCCUGCAGGGCGCAAGGCUGGCCCGUCUGCCAACCUCGGUGACAUGUGAGCGGGAAGUUUGGAUGGGGAAAGAGGGGGCUUUGGGAAGCCGCGCGGUCGCACCCCUGAGAUGUGUGCUGCCGGGAGCGGUCCUUGUAUCGGACGCGUCGUUGCUAGGAUGGGGUGCCAUGUUGUUUCGCCCCCACGAGUGGGAGGGGUCGCUGCAUCCGGGGGCCGGUGGAAGUGCCGCUCCCCCCCCCUCUCUUUAAUCCGCUCUGCUCUCUCAUCAGCCCCACUAACGUGCAUACACGUGCGUGUAUGCGUGUGUGUGCCGACGCGAGCGGGAGAAAGGGGAACGAAGUGGACCGGCACGGUGAAGACAAGCGGAACGACGUCGAUGGCGUCACCUGCGCAGGCCUAGCCACCAACACGCAGCGGGAUUGAAGCGGCUCGCCGGCAUCGUCCUGUCCACUUCGGCUCACGACCCUCAGACACACACACAUACGCACGUGCGCUUGGCUGUUAGCACCCUUCACUCGCCCACCUGCGCCUCUCUCCUCUCUCCAUCUUCUCCGUGUCUCUGCCGACGCGCGUCAUCGCCGAGGAACUCAG